rnacentral:rRNA from 1 species
CCUCCCAUCGCCGACCUCAACCAAGGACGACGGAGAUCCAGUCCACCCACCGCCGACCUCGCCGUCCUCCUCACCCACCGCCCACCUCGUCCCUCUCCUCACCAUCUCUCCCUACCCUCCGCCCUCUGCCUCCUACCUCGAUCCCCCAGAUCUAAUCUACACAACCCCGCUGCCCCCGCAUCCCGUACUGUCCACCAUGGCCGCCUCCUCCUCCUCCCCGCUCCGGAUCCCCACACUAACCCACCACCCCGUCGUGGGGGCGUGUCCGCGGCGGCUGUCCUUCCACGUCGUCUUCCCGCAGCAGGCGCCGGCGUGCCCGUGCCCUUUUACCGUGCGGGUGGCUGUUCCGGUGGGGGUCGACACCGCAGGUCGUGCGCGAGGAGGUGGAUGACUUCCUGCUGUCCGAGAGGGGAUGCCGCCGUCGCCGCCGCCCACCACCCCCACCCCGGCGACUCAGAUCCAGGAUGCCAUGGGCGGGAUGGCCUCUUCCUCCCCUGCGUCGGCGUGUGGUAGCAUGACCGGGUCGAGAUCAUCGCCAACGACCAGGGCAACCGCACCAUGCCCUCCUACGUCGCCUUCACCAACACCGAGCGCCUAAUUGGCGCCGCCGCCAAGAACUACGUUGUCUGUUAGAUGAGAUCUCCAUGGUUGCGUGCGGUCCCUGUUUUGUUCUUACGCCCACGAUCUGAUAUGAUUUGUUCUGAAUAAUCAGAUGUGGCUGUUGCCGAAUCCAUCAUGCAGUGCCCUGUCUAUGAGAUUAAUUACAGUUUAUUAUUGGUUCAUAUCUGCAUGUGUGUUCUUUGUUGUUUGGCAUGCUGUAGUCCCCUGUUUAUGAGAUUGUUCUAUGUCAGAUUCUCAAAUUAGAUCCUUAGGAAUGGAUGGCUUGUCAAUUAAGUUAGGAUGGCUUGUCAAUUUAAGUUAGGAUGCCACCUUAUGAUUGAAAAUAUGCUGUAGAUUUGGUCUUAGUUAAAUUAGAUGUAGCAGCUGCUAUCGAUUCUGUGUUGCAGUCCCGUUUUUCUCUUAUCUAUCAUAGAAUUUUAUUAUUAGUUUAUUGGCAUGGCUGCUCUCUGUUUAUACUAUUCUAAAUGCUGUUAUUUUUUCUCGUUGUUUGUUCUGCAUGGUUCAGUAGUAGAUCCUUCAGAAUGGAGGGCUAGAAUUAAGUUGGGUGGUUGAAAUUAUGCUGCAUAUGAAAAUUAGUUCUACUAUGGUAUACUAGAUUCUCAAGUUUUACAUCCAUCAGAAAAGACUACUUGAAACUAUUUCUGCUGCUGCUACUGUCAAACUACUUUUGUUGUUGUUUUCGUUGUCAUAUGACUCUAAUCUCUGCUGUUGUUGGUGUCAAACUGAUGCUAUGAACCCAGCAGCUCAUAUGACUCUAUUGUUGUUCUUUACCUACUGUUGCUGCUGUUGUAGGAGGAGCAUGCCUAGGAGAAGAAGGAGCACUCCCAGGAGAAGCUCUACCUCUACAGCCUCUACAAGCAGGCCACCGUUGGCCCCGUCAACACUGGAAUGCGUAUCCUUCAGGACAACUCAAGCCCCUCCUCCUCUCCUGUACAUGAAUGUGAGAUGCUGCGCAUGCAAGAUCUGAGCCAAAUGGCAUAUUGUAAUCUUUUUAUUGCUGGUUUUUAUGUACAAUGUCAUGAAGAUGUACGUUUGAAAUGUUGCUUUGAUAGCAAAAUUGUAUUCCUGUGUACAUGCUGCUUUGACAGCAAAAUUAUGAGAAUUUCUCAACAAUAUAUAUGGGCAAAAUUGUAUUCCUGUGUACUGCACCUGAAAAGGCUACAGCCAAUUGAUGAUGUUGCUGUGGAAUUGUUUAGUUUAUUUUAA